GACUUAUAUAUAACUUAUACGUGCAAAGAAGUAAGUCACAGUGGCGCAGUGGUUAACGCACUAGAUCUUCAAGCGAAGGGUCCGUAGUUCGAAUCCCAUGACAACUAUAUUUUUUUCCCCAAUAUAUACGAGUAACCAGAAAUGUAUAAAGUUAUUUAAGAAGCAAGAAAUCAGUUUUGAUUACCACGCAAAAUAAUCUGUAUAUUACGAAAAAUAUGAUAUUGUUUUCUGUGUAUGAAAUUGGUUAAUUAGUUUUGAUUAAUGAAUUCAAAAGUAGUGGUAGAUUUGUUUGGGGAUUGCAAUCCCCACCCCACCGGUAAAAAUUCUUCACACCCCCCUUUUUACGCGUGACAACUCCUUUCCCUGAUUAGUACACAGUACAGUAAAUUAAGCUGUACAUUUCAGUAUGUAUAUCCGAUAUAAUAUUAAACGCUGAGCUUAAUAGCCGUGUUUCGAGUUACUCCGGAACACAGUGUUUAUUCUGUGUUUAGUCACGCCGCGUCAAAAAUGUUCCACAGGGUUACUUCCGGUUUAUCGUUGUUUACCUACCAACAGUCGACACUUCGUGUAUUAGGCCUAGGCUUAAUUUUGUCGAUCAUCAUGAAAUUGAAAUACACAUUUAAUAGUUUGGGGUGUAUGCGGUACAUAUUUGUUUAUGAGCGUUUGAUAAGCUACUAUUGAUCUACGAAAUACAACGAAAGACUUCGUCAAGAACAGAAGACGAUGCAUGUCGUGUAAGGCCCAGCUGUCUAGUAACCGGAGGGGUAAAGGAAAAGAACGUAUUAGACUCACUGAAACCUGUCAAACAGUUAUAUGGGAACAGGAUCAUUUUCCAUGCCUUUCACCUGAGGUCUUCAGUUUCAUCAUUAAUCAUCUGAAUGUCGCUCCCUUUCACUGCAUACCAGCCAAUAACUAGCAGUCAUUAUAUGCAGAUCAGCCAUUGUUGUCAACCUGUGUAUAUAUAUGUUGAAUGAAAUAUGAAUGAAAAUUGUUGUUCUUUGUUAUUCUUUUUAAAAUAUAUAUAUACUCAAUAGUAUAUUUCCUUACACAGUACUGAAUCAAAGGGGUAGGAGAGCAAAUACAUAAUAUAUAACCUGGCUCAUGUUCAGCUGGUUCCAUUCUUGUAUAUAAGUGGUUUGAGUGGAAAUGUACAUAUCUGAUGUACAUGUACAUGCAAAGUACCUUGAUUGCACAGGCAAUAUGCAUCACUUGUGUUCGAAUUUACUAUUAAAGAGUACCCCAAGCGAUGCAUAUUGCCUGUGCUUGAUUUGUAUUAAAAGUUGGAGAAAAGAUCAAUGUUCUUUGAUAUAAUUCAAAAUUUUGCAGUGAAUGAACCAUCGGUAUGGAGCUUGAAUAAAUGAUCAUGCAAAUUCUAGUAUAGAUCCGUAGGGAUA